UUCAAUAUUGCCCUUAAAAGCAAUGUGCACUUCUUUCUUAGUAAGACGCUGUGAUCCAUUAGAAAUUGGAACAUUUCCAUGUUCGUUUGGCUAUCAAUAGGCCGGCAUGAAGUUCAUUGAUACAAGUAACUAGAUCUUUUAACGGUUUGGUAUGUUGUUUGGUGAGCAUGUUGUGUCCUGUCAAUAGCUGUCUGAUGGAUUUUAAAGGUCAUAUUAUUGAUGUUUCGGCACCACUCAUACGUGAGUUUGAUAUGUACCCGAUCAACAGCGGUUAAAUUUGGGAUACCUUUUGGACCCGUCUUGAAACACGGACCAAGGAGUCUAUCUAGUAUGCGAGUAAAUGAGUAUAUGAAACUUAUUUGCAUAAAAAACUUGACUGUUAUGGGAUUACGAGUAAUAUUUUAAUAUUAUUCCUCCAUCCCGGGGUAUUUUCAUCAACAUAUGCAGCAAUGUAUAUGGAAAAUAUACCAUGAGCAUACUGGAUAUGACCCGAAAGAUGGUGAACUAUGCCUGAUCAGGUUGAAGUCAGGGGAAACCCUGAUGGAGGACCGAAGCAAUUCUGACGUGCAAAUCG
rnacentral:rRNA from 2 species